UACAGAGGGGGCAAGCGUUGUUCGGAAUUACUGGGCGUAAAGGGCGCGUAGGCGGCCUGUUAAGUCGAACGUGAAAUCCCCGGGCUCAACCCGGGAACUGCGUCCGAUACUGGCAGGCUUGAAUUCGGGAGAGGGAUGCGGAAUUCCAGGUGUAGCGGUGAAGUGCGUAGAUAUCUGGAGGAACACCGGUGGCGAAGGCGGCAUCCUGGACCGACAUUGACGCUGAGGAGCGAAAGCUAGGGGAGCAAACAGG
rnacentral:rRNA from 1 species